GAUUAACGCUGGCGGCGUGCCUAACACAUGCAAGUCGAACGAGGUAGCAAUACCUAGUGGCAGACGGGUGAGUAACGCGUGGUCAACCUACCGUUGAGUGGGGGAUAACUAGCCGAAAGGUUAGCUAAUACCGCAUACGUCUCCGAGGGGCAUCCCUUGGCGAUAAAAGGAGCAAUCCGCUCGAUGACGGGACCGCGUCCCAUUAGCUAGAUGGUGGGGUAACGGCCUACCAUGGCACCGANGGGUAGCUGGUUUGAGAGAGCGACCAGCCACACUGGGACUGAGAAACGGCCCAGACUCCUACGGGAGGCAGCAGUGAGGAAUUUUCCGCAAUGGGCGCAAGCCUGACGGAGCGACGCCGCGUGUGGGAAGAAGGCCUUCGGGUCGUAACCG
rnacentral:rRNA from 1 species